rnacentral:rRNA from 1 species
UACGUAGGUCCCGAGCGUUGUCCGGAUUUAUUGGGCGUAAAGCGAGCGCAGGUGGUUUAUUAAGUCUGAUGUAAAAGGCAGUGGCUCAACCAUUGUAUGCAUUGGAAACUGGUAGACUUGAGUGCAGGAGAGGAGAGUGGAAUUCCAUGUGUAGCGGUGAAAUGCGUAGAUAUAUGGAAGAACACCGGUGGCGAAAGCGGCUCUCUGGCCUGUAACUGACACUGAGGCUCGAAAGCGUGGGGAGCAAACAGG